ACUGGCACUUGAUUGGUGGACAUGAGCUCCAACUGGCUGCUGAUAGAUCCACAUGUAAUAGUGGAGCUAAUUUUAAUUAGAUUGGAAGAAUAAUGCUCAUUAAUAUAAAGUAGAAAUAUAUAACACACACACACACACACACACCCCGACAUUUUUACGUUCAUGCAGAAACAUGCUGUUAAGGCUAGACCAAUGAGAUGCCUUUAAACUGUAGUGAUUAUAAUCAAUUUAAUUCUUAAGUUAUAACAUUUCUGGUUUCUAAUUGUACACAUUCCUGCACUCUGGGAAUCACAACCUCCCUUUUGUUGAUUUGUUGAUGUGUGACUGAUAGCCAGGUCAUGAGGUCAUCGCAGUAUCUGUACACAUUGGGAAUCACAACCUCCCUUUUGUUGGUUUGUUGAUGUGUGGCUGUGAUAGUCAGGUCAUGAGGUCAUCGCAGUAUCUGUACACAUUGGGAAUCACAACCUCCCUUUUGUUGGUUUGUUGAUGUGUGGCUGUGAUAGCCAGGUCAUGAGGUCAUCGCAGUAUCUGUACACAUUGGGAAUCACAACCUCCCUUUUGUUGGUCUGUUGAUGUGUGGCUGUGAUAGCCAGGUCAUGAGGUCAUCGCAGUAUCUGUACACAUUGGGAAUCACAACCUCCCUUUUGUUGGUCUGUUGAUGUGUGGCUGUGAUAGCCAGGUCAUGAGGUCAUCGCAGUAUCUGUACACAUUGGGAAUCACAACCUCCCUUUUGUUGGUCUGUUGAUGUGUGGCUGUGAUAGCCAGGUCAUGAGGUCAUCGCAGUAUCUGUACACAUUGGGAAUCACAACCUCCCUUUUGUUGGUCUGUUGAUGUGUGGCUGUGAUAGCCAGGUCAUGAGGUCAUCGCAGUAUUGGUACACGGUGUAUGAUGCUUUUCACCGUAGUCUUUCAUAAUGUUGCUUGUUAAUGUUAGCACACGAUGCUGUGCUGCAUACUCACCAAGUUAACCGUUACUAAUCCAUUGUUGGUCUCUGGUCAGCACACACAUCGAAAUGAGGUCAUUUGGGGGCAAAGUCAAAGUCACAAAAGUUGCCUUGGCUGUAUGGAAAAUGUGACUGAAACCAUUUAGGAUACCAAGGCAAAUGAGGGAGCACCAUGCCCAAUGAGGCAGGACCAAGGCAGAGGAGGACAACAACCAAAAAUGUACCCACCUUAUCUGUGCAGUGAAAUGGUGUUUUGUUGUUGUUUUUAAAUACAUCACUGCAUCAGUUCUGGAACUUUGGUUGGAUUAGAUCGAGACAUGUUGGGUUGUGGUGUUCGGCCUUAAUUUACAUAAUUUGAUCAUUGCACUUCGUUAAUAAAUAUUCUGUUAGUUUUAACUACAGCUAACCAUAUUUCCCAUAAACUUACAUGUAGCAAUAAACUAAAUGAUUGGGGUCUUGACUAGUAAAUAAUCAGUGUAUAAUUUUAUCACACAAAACCAAUGGCUAAACAGUGGAAGUCGGUGUGUAAUAACAGACAGGUACACAUGGCCAGUAAAACAUCAUUAUUGAUGUUAGAUCUUACUUCUCGUUUGUAGAUUAGGCCAAACAAAAUAAACGACUUUCUGGUCUCUGGUCAGAGCGCUUAUCAAUUUUGACCCUCGUGUGUCAACUUUUUUUCUUUUUUUUAAUUUGCCGCAGUAUGUCAAUUUUUGCUGGGCUUUUCUUGCUAUGACGUAAAACUGCAUUGUGAGCCAAACUGCCUUCCUGCCUGAACUAGGACAUGCAUUCUGAUUUCAAUUUAAAUAUGCCCUUUAUUUUGGUAUCAAAUAUAUGGACUUUUUCUGUGAAAUCCAGGUUUUAAAAAAAAAAAUUGAAAAAAAAGAAAAGAAAAAAAGAUGCAUCGCUGCAUCAAUUCUGGAAUUUUCAUCUGACCAGAGACCAACUUUUUUUUGGGGGGGGUGUCUUACUUUGAAUUGUUUUCCACUUUGCUGUAAGUCUAAUACCCCACCCCAACCCACCCUGAUGGGUACUCUAAACAUGUUAUGUAACUAUGUGACUAACAGUAUUAUUAAAUGACAUGUACUCCAUUGCUAUACCAGCUACACUAUUGUUUCCUUGGUGUACUUGCUGUUACAAGUACUAUUGUCUCUCUAAAUUUUAAUUAUUAUUGUUGGGUUUCUGUUGUGGGAUUUUUCAUUUUUUAUUUAUUUUAUUAUUAUUAUGUAUUUAAUAUUAUUAUUAUUAUUAUUAUUAUUAUUGUUAUUAUUAUUAUUACAUGUAUUAUGUUAAAGUUACUGCAUAUCUACUGGUAUGCAUGAUUGAUUACAAACAGUUGUUUUGAUCGACAGCCGAUGAUUCCAUAUAUGACCACAAGGGUUGGUCUGCUGUCAAUCAAAACAUCAAUUUCAAGUGUGUAAAUAACCUUGCAUCCUAGGAGUACAUUUAUGUACUAACUUACUUGUACCAUGUCUCUAAGUGAUAUUGCAUGAUGUAAGAAAAUUUGGCUUGUGAGCGGUAGUUUAAAACGUGUGCCAUGAUGUAGAUUUAUUGCACACUUUAAUCAAUAGCAAAACAACCUAAGCAUCGUACAUGCCUGUAAUUAAGAAAAUGCCCAUGGCAUAAAACAUACCAUUAAAAAACCCCACCUUGAAUAGUCCAAGACAAAACAGUGCCAUGCAAAACUAAAACCCCCACGGCAAUCUCCAAUUGCAACAGCAUUGCCGAUUGCCAUAGGCAAUUGCAGGGGUUGGGUACAAUAUUAAUUUAUUAAAUAUUCAGUACCGACUUAAUUUAUAAUAAUAAUAAUAUCAGUUUACUAUUGUAUUAAUGGUAUUGUUUUUAACAUUAUGCUAGUAUUUCAGCAGUAAGCUGGCCAGAUGUUUUGUAAAUGGUUUGUCCAAUAUCAGUGUUUUGUACUGCUUGUUGAAGUGCUAUUUUGAGACUGUUCACCAACACACACUACAGAGAUGUUUACUGCAAACUGUUUUGUGACAUCUAACGUCACACGGUGCUCACCUCAGCUGAAUACUUGAAGGAAGUUAUUGCUUUCAUUAUUUUUUAUUGCUUUCAUUUUUUAACCUUUUCAUUUUGAAACAUUUAUGUACAUGAUAGUUUUGGUGGAUUGGUAUGUAUCUGCUUCAAAUUACAUUAAGUUAAGUAAGUCGGAGGGUUUUUGUUUUGUUUUUUUGUGGGUGUGUUUAGUGAAGUAGUAUUUGCAUACUUUACCCUUUACCCCUCUUGUUGAUAACCAAAUAUCAUACACAGUGAAACCUGUCUAAACUCGACCCUCUGAAACCAGAAUUCCUCUCUAAACCGGACAUUUCUUAAGGUUCCUUUUUAAAUAUCAGUACAGAACAGAAACUUUCACUGUAUUUAGGGUUUUUUAAAAACCUCUUGUUACUCACUGGAAGAACAUUAUUUUUAAUUAUUAAUUAUUAUUGAUGCAUUACACAAUCAGCCAUUCAUUAUGUUAUCGGGAAUUGUCUUUGACUUAACUGUUGUACAGUCAACAUGGGGUUUUUGGAUUUUUUUUUCAUCUUUUAUUGUUUUAUUAAUAUGGACAUUGUAGCUGUAUGAGAAAAAUGAAAUGUUCUGACAUAUAAGUGGACCUGGAGACAUCAAAGCAUAUUUUCCUACAUGUAAUUUCUAUCACAACUUUUUUCAUAUUUAAGAGCAAUUUGAUGUUUCAAUUUGUUUUGGGUUGCUUUUUUAUUAUUUUAGCUACAGAGGCAUCAAACAAUCUCACUCUGUUCCUUGUUACUAUACACCCAGGACACCAGGAUGUGGGCUAUCAACACGAGCUGACCCCCUCCCCCCACACCCAUAAGUGUAUGAGACAGGAGAGUGGGUGGGGGGCAACUGCUCCCCUAGUGCUAGAGCAAAACCUCAAAUUCAGGCAAAAUGUGCUAAACUAAGACCUUUUUACGGUGUAUUUUCAUCAUUCUGCCCUCAAAAUUAGUUAUAAUCCAUGUAAAAAUGUGUAGCAACCCUAUAUAGCUAUUUGGCAGUAAUGCUAAAUUUGAACAAAUGUCGUUAUCCAGAUUCAGGCUUUUUGUUUUCAAUUUGUGUAAAAACCAGCCUGCCCCCCUAUAAAAAUAGGAGCCUGUACGCCUAUGGCCUCACCCACCCCAGUCAGUCCCGACUACCCAGCUGUGUCAGUCUUAUGUACCCGUGUGACAGUUUGAAAUUUGGAUUAGUCCAGUAUGUUUAGAUUAUUUAUCAAGCAAAGAGACUUCAUCAACUAUCCUUAAAGUAUCUUCAUCCUACAUCAAUACACAGUUUCUGCAUUUGUAUUCUUGGUUCUUUGUAUCUUUGUAUUGGAUUAUUUUGUUUCAUCUUAAUUAUCCUCUGUAUGUUCUCGAUUCUUGUCACCAGCAUGUCUACAAAUUCUGUUUAAUGCUUCACUCAUAUGCUUUAUAAUAACUAUGAAUUCUAUGAUCAUGGAUAUUGAAUCCGUAAAUGUUCUUCUGUUACAUUCUGUGUAAUGCUUCAUGAUACUCACGGAUUCUCUCUCUACCAUCUUGAAGGUUUUGUCCUCUACAUUUGUAUAUUAUGUAUGUUAUGUACUUGUAAAAUUUGGACUCUGCCAGCCAGUUAUGAGGAGUAUGUUACGUGGUCAGUCUCACCAAGCAUUUGUCCAGUAUGAUAUGUACUUGUAUAAUUUGGACUCUGCCAGACAAUUAUAAUGAGUAUGUUACCUGGUCAGUCUCGCCGAGUGUUUGUCCAGUGUGUUAUGUACUUGUAUCAUUAGGACUACCAGACAGUUAAGAUCAGUAUGUUAACUGGUCAGUCUCACCAAAUGGUUGUCCAGUGUGUUAUGUAUUUGUAUAAUUAGAACUGCCAGCCAGUUAUGAGGAGUAUGUUACGUUGUGAGUCUCACCAAGCAUUUGUCCAGUAUGAUAUGUACUUGUAUAAUUUGGACUCUGCCAGACAAUUAUAAUGAGUAUGUUACCUGGUCAGUCUCGCCGAGUGUUUGUCCAGUGUGUUAUGUAUUUGUAUAAUUAGAACUGCCAGCCAGUUAUGACAAUGUUUACUGGUCAUUCUUACAGUGUUUGUCCAGUAUGAUUUGUACUUGUAUAAUUUGAAAUGCAACAGAGAUAUAUGAUGAGAAUGUUAGCUGGUCAGUCUCACCGAGCGUUUGUCCAGUAUGUUACUUGUGUUAUGUUUUGUAUCUAGUGUUACCCACUGCCUGGGAUGUGCUGCACCGCAGUGAUGUCCAACUGUUAUUAUACUUUCUGCGAGUCUGUCUUGCUCAUCCAUUGUUCUACUCAGUGCUGAGCAGGAUCCGAACGUUACCAGUAAAUAAACAAUUUUUACAUAC